rnacentral:rRNA from 1 species
CCUACGGGAGGCAGCAGUGGGGAAUAUUGGGCAAUGGAGGCAACUCUGACCCAGCACCGCCGCGUGAAUGAUGAAGGUCUUCGGAUUGUCAAGUUCUGUGAUGGGGGAUGAACACAAUGACGGUACCCCAAUAGCAAGCCACGGCUAACUACGUGCCAGCAGCCGCGGUAAUACGUAGGUGGCAAGCGUUAUCCGGAAUGACUGGGCGUAAAGGGUGCGUAGGUGGUUUAGUAAGUUGGCGGUGUAAUUCCGGGGCUCAACCUCGGCGCUACCGCCAAAACUAUUAGACUAGAGUGCAGGGGGGGUAAGUGGAAUUCCUAGUGUAGCGGUGGAAUGCGUAGAUAUUAGGAGGAACAUCAGGGGCGAAGGCGACUUACUGGACUGUAACUGACACUGAGGCACGAAAGCGUGGGGAGCAAACAGGAUUAGAUACCCCAGUAGUC